GUGUUGCAUGAAAGGAGAGAAGUUGAGCACUCCCCUUGACAAGGAUGGGAGAGACUCUAGGGCCUGACAACACACAGAACCAACAGUUAAGGCACUGCCACCUACUUUGUGGCCUCUGACCAUCGUUUUUG
ensembl:snRNA